rnacentral:rRNA from 1 species
UGAGGAAUAUUGGUCAAUGGCCGCAGGGCUGAACCAGCCAAGUCGCGUGAGGGAUGACGGUCCUAUGGAUUGUAAACCUCUUUUGUCAGGGAGCAAAGGGCGCCACGUGUGGCGUUUUGCGAGUACCUGAAGAAAAAGCAUCGGCUAACUCCGUGCCAGCAGCCGCGGUAAUACGGAGGAUGCGAGCGUUAUCCGGAUUUAUUGGGUUUAAAGGGUGCGCAGGCGGAAUGUCAAGUCAGCGGUAAAAUUUCGGGGCUCAACCCCGUCGUGCCGUUGAAACUGGCGUUCUUGAGUGAGCGAGAA